rnacentral:tRNA from 1 species
GUCCCUGUAGUUCAAUGGAUAGAACGAAUUCCUCCUAAGAAUUAAAUGCUGGUUCGAUUCCGGCCAGGGACGCCA